AAAAGGAAACUGGACAAGCAAGGAAUUUUUGUUUUCGUUGAGGUCACAAUGAAUAAACAAAAUCUGAUUCAGAGACUAUGCCAAGCCAGGUGAUAAGAUCUUGAAGAACCAAGAUCCAGAGAGAAGUGAAAGGAAUCAGUGUUCCAUGGAGCGGAAGUGCAUCAGGAAAGGAAAGAGAAAACAGAUUCAGACUAAAGCACGUGCCUGACAAUGUGUCUGCUGCAUUGCAUGAGGCAACCUUGCUGCAGCCAACCAUAGUGGGUGCCCUUGCAGGUCCAAUUAAGAGGCUUAAUUGAAGAAUUCCAAGUUAGCAGACUGUCCUGGCACUCAGAGGAUAUUGUGCCUGGUAAUGAUAGUGUUGAAUUGGACAGAAAGAAUAUUCACAAAGGUUAGUAGAGAUACAUGUAUUUUAUAA
ensembl:lincRNA